AGGGUUUGAUCCUGGCUCAGGAUGAACGCUAGCUACAGGCUUAACACAUGCAAGUCGAGGGGCAGCAUGAAGGAAGCUUGCUUCCUUUGAUGGCGACCGGCGCACGGGUGAGUAACGCGUAUCCAACCUUCCCCUGACUCCGGAAUAGCCCGGUGAAAACCGGAUUAAUGCCGGAUGCGGUCUAGAGAGGACAUCUGACCUGGACCAAAGGCUUGCCGGUCAGGGAUGGGGAUGCGUCUGAUUAGGUUGUUGGCGGGGUAACGGCCCACCAAGCCGUCGAUCAGUAGGGGUUCUGAGAGGAAGGUCCCCCACAUUGGAACUGAGACACGGUCCAAACUCCUACGGGAGGCAGCAGUGAGGAAUAUUGGUCAAUGGGCGAGAGCCUGAACCAGCCAAGUAGCGUGGAGGAUGACGGCCCUACGGGUUGUAAACUCCUUUUAUCAGGGGAUAAAGUCCGCUACGUGUAGCGGUUUGCAGGUACCUGAUGAAUAAGGACCGGCUAAUUCCGUGCCAGCAGCCGCGGUAAUACGGAAGGUCCGGGCGUUAUCCGGAUUUAUUGGGUUUAAAGGGAGCGCAGACGGGCUGUUAAGCGUGACGUGAAAUCCGGGGGCUCAACCUUCGGCUGCGUCGCGAACUGGCGGCCUUGAGUGGACGGUAGGCAGGCGGAAUUCGUGGUGUAGCGGUGAAAUGCUUAGAUAUCACGAAGAACCCCGAUUGCGAAGGCAGCUUGCCGCAGUCUUACUGACGUUCAUGCUCGAAGGUGCGGGUAUCGAACAGGAUUAGAUACCCUGGUAGUCCCCU
rnacentral:rRNA from 1 species